AUUGAACGCUGGCGGCAGGCUUGACACAUGCAAGUCGAGCGGAGAUGAGGUGCUUGCACCUUAUCUUAGCGGCGGACGGGUGAGUAAUGCUUAGGAAUCUGCCUAUUAGUGGGGGACAACAUUCCGAAAGGAAUGCUAAUACCGCAUACGCCCUACGGGGGAAAGCAGGGGAUCUUCGGACCUUGCGCUAAUAGAUGAGCCUAAGUCGGAUUAGCUAGUUGGGGGGGUAAAGGCCUACCAAGGCGACGAGCUGUAGCGGGUCUGAGAGGAUGAGCCGCCACACUGGGACUGAGACACGGCCCAGACUCCUACGGGAGGCAGCAGUGGGGAAUAUUUGACAAUGGGCGGAAGCCUGAUCCAGCCAUGCCGCGUGUGUGAAGAAGGCCUUUUGGUUGUAAAGCACUUUAAGCGAGGAGGAGGCUACCUGGAUUAAUACUCUAGGAUAGUGGACGUUACUCGCAGAAUAAGCACCGGCUAACUCUGUGCCAGCCGCCGCCGUAAAAC
rnacentral:rRNA from 1 species